UACGAAGGGGGCUAGCGUUGCUCGGAAUUACUGGGCGUAAAGCGUGCGCAGGCGGUCUGUUAAGACCGAUGUGAAAUCCCCGGGCUUAACCUGGGAACUGCAUUGGUGACUGGCAGGCUUUGAGUGUGGCAGAGGGAGGUAGAAUUCCACGUGUAGCAGUGAAAUGCGUAGAGAUGUGGAGGAAUACCGAUGGCGAAGGCAGCCUCCUGGGCCAACACUGACGCUCAUGCACGAAAGCGUGGGGAGCAAACAGG
rnacentral:rRNA from 1 species